AUAGCUGAAUUGUUGGCUAUGUGGUUUUAUGGGGCCCGAUAAUCUUUCUAAUCGCCAAACUUGAAGAAGAUUAUCGGGGUUUUCACUU
rnacentral:antisense_RNA from 12 species